GAUGAACGCUGGCGGCGUGCCUAAUACAUACAAGUCGAGCGAACGGACGAGAAGCUUGCUUUUCUGAUGUUAGCGGCGGACGGGUGAGUAACACGUGGAUAACCUACCUAUAAGACUGGGAUAACUUCGGGAAACCGGAGCUAAUACCGGAUAAUAUUUUGAACCGCAUGGUUCAAAAGUGAAAGACGGUCUUGCUGUCACUUAUAGAUGGAUCCGCGCUGCAUUAGCUAGUUGGUAAGGUAACGGCUUACCAAGGCAACGAUGCAUAGCCGACCUGAGAGGGUGAUCGGCCGCACUGGAACUGAGACACGGUCCAGACUCCUACGGGAGGCAGCAGUAGGGAAUCUUCCGCAAAGGGCGAAAGCCUGACGGAGCAACGCCGCGUGAGUGAUGAAGGUCUUCGGAUCGUAAAACUCUGUUAUUAGGGAAGAACAUAUGUGUAAGUAACUGUGCACAUCUUGACGGUACCUAAUCAGAAAGCCACGGCUAACUACGUG
rnacentral:rRNA from 1 species